GAUAUUUUCAGUCCACAUCCUUUAGGCUGAGAAUUUUAGAACUUAAUGGGCAGGACGCGGGAAAUUAGCUCCUCAUUGUUCUCUUGCUGGACACAAUGAACCACUCCAUUUUCUCAGCUUUUCUGUCCUUUGUGUGCUAAGCUCAGAACAUAGCAGAUAGCAGGAUCAAGGAACUGAUUGCCACAGUGGUUUUCGCCUGCUUCACCUGCCCCAUAUUAUUGAUGACACCACUAUGGACAGAAGCGAAGGAAUUUGGACUUCAGCUUGAGUGUGGUGAGGAAUGAGAAGUUCUAGGCAGUUUAGGUGGACGUUAAUGAAUACGAAACGAGUGGAAAUAUUCUCUCUUCGCAAUCAGUAACCGCAGUGAAUAGCUACUGCAGCGUUGGGGCGAUCCCACUUAACUGAGCCAUCGGUAGCCAGGCAUGUUGAGCUCGGCACAACAUGCAAGGCUGCUUGAACCUGGCUCGGCUGUAGGUCACAGGUGACUCUUCUGCUGCUUCCAUUCUGCUAUUCUACUGCGAUUGAUUCUCCUGCAGCCGGAUUGAAAGCCAGUUAUGCAUGGUAGUUGACCUUUUGCAUGCUAUAGUGCAUUCUCCUCAAUGUGCUCCUGGUACUACUUACCCUCACUGACCACCAAGUACAUGGCAAGGAAAAGAAUACCUACACACAACCUGCGUCACUUCCCCCAUCUGACCACAAAGCUUGAGUGAGGACCAAAUGUCAUAAGCCAGCUGCUGUCCAUUUGGUAACAGUGUAGCAGCCAUUAUAUAAUAGUUGUGGUUCUUCAUCAAGCAAGACGUCCAUCACUUUCAACUCAAAUUUCACAGAGCACAGUCAACCUGUUUCCGACACAAAUGGCUGAGGAUUCAGUGCCAGGACCAAACGUACAUCUUGAUUUAGCAGCCUGCCUGAUUUGUCUCUCAUCCUUGCUCAUCACUUUACUUCUCUGUGGAUUUCGCUGCCGCAGGUCAAAAAAGAUGGUCGUGCAACCCAGUGGACAUGUUGAAGAUAAAGCUGAGCAACUGGAAGAUAAUGAUAUUCCAGACGAUCCCACAUACACAGUCAUCCAGGAAAACUAUUUUGAAGAAGCGAAAGCACCAGACCUGGAGGUUCACACCAAUGUUCUCUACGAGUCUGUAGACAUGUUGCAACCAUCAAAUAGUGACAGACCAUUUGUCAGCACUGACAAGUGUAUCUACUCAACUGUUACUCCAGUCUGUACUACAGAAGUGGUGAAAGACAAUCAGAUGGCCCUUUAUGCGACCGUGAACAAGGUACAAAGGCAAGAAACACAGGAAGAGCAACAAAGAAAAGAUGCACAAGAAAUGGAGAACAGCAACUGUCAAUAUGAAACCAUACCAAAUGAAAUAAUCACUCAACUGACAUCAUAAAAUGCAAUUGUGAAAAAUGACUUGUUGAUGCAAAAUUGAUUUGAGCAAAAGUUGGUGUAAGACAAUAGACUGAAGAUAUUGAUGUUUGGACAAUGAAUGUACUACUAAAUGUGAGCAUUCUCCUAAUCGUGUUGGCAUAAUGGCGUGUUUUGAGUCAAUAUACUAAAUUUAGGCCUCGACUUAUUGUAAAAAAUUUAAUCUAACAAAUUAUCUGAAGUUUUACUUGCAAUCUCCAUAUUGUCUGGCCAGCAAGCAACUCCUGGUUUGUUUUAUGUACUUUAUUCGAAGAGUAUAACUGUGUUGUGCGAUUUAAGUUAGUUAUUAUGAAAGCUGUGGAUAAAGCUAAGAUAAUUAUGGAAUAAAUAAGAGGUACAGUACUUUAAAAAACAAAUUUUGUAUCACUGAUAUUAUGGGUCAAGCAACUUUUUUCUCUUUCUCUUUCUCUUUCUAUUGCUUGCAGCACUGCAGUCUGAAGGAGAAAGAACUAUUUUUGUUGUUAAAAAUAAACACAAUUUUUUCUAGUUAUUUUAACACUGAAAUGCUAAUAGGAUACAUUGAGGGCGAAAAAGAUACCAACAGAGGCUGAAAUGUCAUACCUCGCAACUACGAUUAUGAAUUUAGAUUACGAGAAACACCCGCACCCUUCGGAAGCAGCUUGAGGGGGAAAGAUGAGGGAAUAGUGGGCAGUGGGGGGGGGGAUAUAUUUUGUGUUGUGGCUAAUAAUCCCUCCUGUCUGCAGUGGGGUCAGUAAACCACUUGUACUGUGGCACAUGUACAGGCGAAAAGCGUAAGUCGUCUCGUUGCGAGGGGGGGGGUUGUGAUUUUCUUUGUGCUCAUGACCUGACCAUGGGUAUGACCGACGCUUAUGCAAAACUUGGUGGAAAUCGGCCCAGUCCUGUUUAUUUCUAUGAUUUCCAGACGUACACACAUACAGAGAAUUGUCUUUUUCAUAUCGUGGGGUUAUAAUUUAGCCCCAGCAUCAGCCCAUCAGGUUUGAAUAAUAAUUUUCAUCUAAAUCCCAAAAUAAUUUACAUACAUAAGAAGGAAAACAAUUAUUGUGUUAAAAUAGAAAAGUGCUCAAUAGCAAUAGAAAAGUGAGCAAUAUGUAGGCCUACUCUGACAAAUAUUUUUUAUACAUAGUCGAGGCUCAUGGAAGAGCUAGAAUAAGUACACUGAACGUAUCAGGACCCAACAAAAGGAACAGUUGAGAGAAGGGGGAAACACCAAUAGCAGAGUUGAAGGCCAAUAUUGAAGCAGACUUGGACAAACAAUGGGUGUGGGUAGGAAUUGUCAUGAUCUGGGGGAUCUGACAUGAUCACAGAGAUCCAAUUGACUUUCCCAGGGUAAAUGCACCUGAAUAGAUCCCGGGGUAAAUGCAGGAUUCUCACAGCAUCUAAAUUUGAGAGUAUAGUCCAGUGGUUAGCCUGCAAGCUGAAGUUAAAGUGGUGACCAUUCUCACCAAAGACAUCUUCAUGUUCAUCAAGUUAAAUCAGCAUCCAGUGUAUCUGGUUUAACAGCGAUUUUCCUUGCAGCAGAGCACUUACAAUCACUCUGUCAUGCUGUUAAAUUGCGUGGCCAUUAUAUUGAUGCUAAUGUAAUUGUUAAUAGCCAAUAAACACCAAGCUGCUUUCAGUUAUUUAUGAUCAUUUGUUGUUUAUCCAAUCACUGGAGCUAAUUUAAUAAGUGCAACACAGACAGACACAGAACAGAUUCCACUUACCAGUAAACAAAUUUAUAGGGAUCUUGAUCCACAUGAGCAUGAGCCAGCUGCCAUAACCGCUAUGACGAGGACACCAGACAUGAAGUGUUCUCACAAGCAUCUUUUGGGUCUAGCUCUUGGGAAAGGGCUGGGUGAUUCAGUAUAAAAGAUAGGCAGGCAAUGCAUCAAUGGAAUGAAUAUCACUGCUGUAUCUCUGAAAACAAGUGAGUAAUCUAAAACUGUGGGGCAUGGCUAUGUCACACGGUAAUAAUUGGCCCAACAUCAGAUGGGCGCUAAUGGUUGCCAGUUUAACUUGGCCUUUAUGACUAAGAUUGCUCAAUGUACCCACUUAAUGUCACUCAAAGCACAUGUGUGCACAGGAGAAAGAACAGAGCUGGAAAGGUUACAAAAAUAAAUUGACUUAUGAAACUACACAACCAUAAAAGCAAUUCCCGUCGUGCCAUUCAAUUCACACAUCAUUCAUGCAUGAGUACUUCCUGCAAACUUGUGCCACUUAUGCAUCUUAACAACUACAAAUUUACACAAGUUAUAUUGGUGUACGAAAUUCAACAGAUUAUAAUCCCUUCAUCCCAUUAUAACAAGUAACCAAAAUGAGAAUUUGGCUUUUCACUCAAAUCUCUGUGCAGAUAUAUGUUGUUGUGCAAAUGGCUCCAAGGGGUUAAUAUGGCUUGGAAUAGAGCAGUUAUUUCCUUCAAGUGAAUGUCCAGCAUAAGUGUAAAGUAAUUAAUUGUGAUUUAGAUGUUCAUCGCUUUUAAGUAUGCAUGAUAUUAGAUAUGCAUCUAGUUUGUUGUCAUCUACCCAUCCCUAUGUCUGUAUCUAAAAUUAUCAACCCGUUUGACCCAAUUAUUAUCGUUCUGCCCUCUGUAAUGGACCAAGAGACAAUUUGACAGCUGCCAAUGGACUCGGUUCUUGUUCAUGGCUCGUGCCAUCUCCAAGAACUCUGUUGGGUUUGCCGGAAUACUGUAUUGUUUCGUCCUAUCAAUUUUGUCUUUCUAUCGUGGAGUGUCUGAGGCCUUAAGGCAAAGGCUAAGUAAAAAUCUUCUGAUCAUACAUUGUUUUGUGGGCACGUAUGUGUGGUAGUGGGUAAAAGGUUUUUUUUUAAUUGUUUCACCAUUUAUUGUUAUUACUUCCUUGUGUUUCCUUCCCUCAUUUCAUUUGCAUUAUUAAAUACAUCUGGUCUCAGGGGUGAAUUCUGCUUGUCGUGGAUCUCCUGAGAUGAUUAGGGAAGGCCCGUUAAGGGACUAAUUUGAUGUGAUGAGUUAAUGCC
rnacentral:lncRNA from 1 species